rnacentral:lncRNA from 1 species
UCUUUAAAAAUCACAGCAGAAUCCAAUAAAUUGGGAUUUAAAGUCACAACGGAUUCUAAAGAACCUUCGAACAUUGGAUUAAAAUGCAAGAUGGGAGUUCCAUCAAGUUUUACCAAGCCUGCUCUAGGAGUUUCGGCUGCUCCAAACCCACCGCUUUAGGUUCAACAAUUAAAUCCUGCUCCUGCUCCAAGCCCGCAUCUUUUUGUCCAAAAACUAAAUCUCUUUUUCGCUCCAAGCCCG